AGGUGAUGACCACUCCUGCUGAUGUCAGAGUCCAGUAUCAUCCCAGGUCUCACUGUGAGAACCUGGACCUGAGACCCCAUCACAGCAACAUCAAUGACAUUGCUGGAGUCUGUUCAAAAGAGACAAAGAGAAAGAGGGAGCGAGAGUCGGUAAGCAGCAGUGAUGAAGAGGAAUUGCUAAUGUCAACUGCACUGGCUGCUGCCUCAGUAUCAAAGCCCCCUGCUUGCUUCAUAUCUGCAGACAGCCACCAGCAACAGAUUCCCCCGUCAUUAACAACUGUACAGCACACUGGACUGAGAGAGAGGGAUAGGAGGAGACACUGACAUAACAGGAGGAAAACAAGAUAAAGAAAGAAAGAACGCCUAAAAGAGACAGAAAGGAAGGAUGGGAGGGCACUGAUGAACAGCAUAACAGAUGGAAGAUAUAGACUGAAGUUGCCACAGCGCUGUUACAUCACUUCUGUCUUUUCACUCUUCCUUUCCUCACUUCUGCCUUUACUUUCCUUUUCUCUUGCCUGGUAAAUUAAACCCUCCUGCUUAAUCAUUUAGGGAAAUUGUAUCCCUCCAUCAACAGUGUUGGUGUGGAAAAAUUGGGGAAAAAUUUGAACAAAUUAACACCAUUUGUAGUAAAGCAGAUGUUCUUUUGCCAACAGCCAGUUAAGGCAGCAUGGUGUGGGUGGAUCAGGAGGGAGGCUGGCUGCUCGAAUAACAGUUUUUUGCAUCUUUUGGGCGAUGUAAUCUGAACAAUGUUUCAGUAGCGUCACCCUCUGAUGGGUGCUUGCUUACAAUUAGAACUCUUAAAGCAAUUACUGUAUACUGAACCCAGGAGUCUCACUCUAAAUAAGGUAAACUAAGCCUGAGGGGGAGAAAUUUUCAAUUCAGAAUUACUUCCCAUAAUGCAUAGUGUUGAGUUUUAAGUUCUGAAAUUCAGAAAGCUUGAAAGCAACCUAAAGCUAUUGGUUGUACUGAAUCACAAUGCAAAGCUAGUACUAAAUCGAUAAGCCAAAGCCUUACAGUUUUCUGUUAAACAAUACACACCAGCCCACUUCAGCAGUCAAACCAGAACACUGAUAGCUUGGAAACUCUUGCUUGACUCACUGGGCAUCCCUACACUCCAGACAGCCAGGGAGAAUGUGAUGGAAGCCUCCUGUAGGUCUGCAGUAUGGUGGGUUUCUUCAGGCAAAGGUCAGUGCAUGCUGUAUCGCUGUGUUUCCACUUCACAUCAAUAAAAAGCCUCCUUUACACACUUUGAGCUGAAUCUCCUGUCUAGGCUCAACUCCCAUGACAGGCACUGCGGAAACACACACUCACACUCACACGUUUAACCCUGAUAAUGGGAUAUAGCUCAAGCAUGCCUGGAGCCUGAUAAACGGAUGGAUGUAUACUUAAAAAUGAUGUGUGU